AAGUUUUAUUAUAUUUUAGUAUUUUUCAUUGUCUAUGAUUAGGUUUGAAACUUUUA
rnacentral:tRNA from 1 species